rnacentral:rRNA from 1 species
GGUCAAUAGCCUAACGGCUGAACCCGCAACUUGGAGGAAUGUAUAGCAAUAGCUACUUGCAUCAUUGUAAAAAUGAUGCAGGAUCGACUAUGUCGAAUAAAAUUCUAGGUAGUAUUUUGAUGAUGACAGUUUCUGCCUAUGUGUCUUGACCAAAUUACGUGCCAGCAGUCGCGGUAAUACGUAGAAGACUAGUGUUAUUCAUGUUUAAUCGGUUUAAAGGGUACCUAGACGGUAAAUCAAGCCUAAAAUUAAGUGAAGGGACUAAUUUACUAGAGUUACUUACGAGGGGGUAUUAAAGUACUGCUGGUGUAGAGAUGAAAUUCUGUCAUACCUCUUUUCAAUAGAAAAAUAAUGGCACAGGUAUAGGCGAAAGCAUCCCCUUAUGUGAUAACUGACGUUGAGGGACGAAGGCUUUGUGUAGCGAACAGGAUUAGAUACCCCAGUAGUCAAAGCAGAAAAUGAUGAAUGUCAUAGAUUAGAUAUAUAAGUUUAUUCUAUAAAUGAAAGUGUAAGCAUUCCACCUCAAGAGUAAUUUGGCAACAUUGGAACUGAAAUCAUUAGACCGUUUCUGAAACCAGUAGUGAAGUAUGUUGUUUAAUUUGAUGAUCCGCAAAAAACCUUACCACAAUUUGAAUAUUUAUAUCUAUUAUUGUUUUUUAUUUUCUUCUGAUUUGAUUUUUCUUUUUCUAAAGAAAAAAAAAAGAAAAAAAGAAAAAAAGAAAAAGAGGCGAUAUGAUAUAUUUACAAGCGUUGCACGGCUGUCUUCAGUUAAUGUCGCGAGACUUUGGUUAGUUCCAUUAAAUUAACGUAAACCCUUACUUUAUUUUUAUAUAGAGUAGUUCCCCGCUAUAUUGGAUAUGAUAACAGGGACUAAGACAAGUCAUCAUGCCCUAAAUAUUGUGGGCU